rnacentral:rRNA from 1 species
CGGGCCUCGCGCUAUUGGAUGAGCCUGCGUCGGAUUAGCUUGUUGGUGAGGUAAAAGCUCACCAAGGCGACGAUCCGUAGCUGGUCUGAGAGGAUGAUCAGCCACACUGGAACUGAGACACGGUCCAG